GACGAACGCUGGCGGCGUGCUUAACACAUGCAAGUCGAACGGAAAGGCCCUGCUUUUGUGGGGUGCUCGAGUGGCGAACGGGUGAGUAACACUUGAGUAACCUGCCCUUGACUUUGGGAUAACUUCAUGAAACUUGGUCUAAUACCGGAUAGGAUCUCCUGCUUCAUGGUGGGGGUUGGAUAGUUUCGGCGGUUGGUGAUGGACUCGCGGCUUAUCAGCUUGUUGGUGGGGUAGUGGCUUACCAAGGCUUUGACGGGUAGCCGGCCUGGGAGGGUGACCGGACAAACUGGGACUGAGAUGAGGCCCAGACUAGAACGGGAGGGAGAAGAGGAGAAUAGAGCACAAUGGGCGGAAGCAAGAUGCAGCAAAGCAGCGUGCGGGAUGACAGGAAUGGGGUUGUAAACCAAAUUCGCCUGUGACGAAGCGUGAGUGACGGUAAUGGGUAAAGAAGCACCGGCUAACUACGUG
rnacentral:rRNA from 1 species